CUUCUCAAGGCUGGGCUCAAACCCUGAGAUCAAGACGUGAGCUGAGAUCAAGAGUCAGAUGCUUAGCACACGGAGCCAUCCUGGUGCCCUCUGCCAAGCUUUUAUGGAACACCUACUACAUGCAGACCUCACCCUCAGUUCCCUUUGGGAGAUACAAUCAAAUCUUUGAAAUGAUGGUUGUCUGUCACUACAAAUGACCCCUUGAUGAAUGAAAGCUGUAUGGUGGUGGGAACUUCGUCCUCAGUGCUAGCACUGAGCCUACCACAUGGUUGCCAGGGAUGCCAUGGAAGGUUGUAAAGGUUGUUCACUGCAUCAGAGCUCCCGGCUGGGGAGCGGGCGCUGACAUCUGGCCUGUUCUCUGCUCUCCAUGCACUGGGGGCAUCCAGCAAGUUGCCUUCUGCUAUUUUGCAACGUGUGCUGUAUGGGCUGGUUGUGGCUCUGUGAUGGGUGUUCAAUAAAUAUUCACUGACUACAUGA